rnacentral:lncRNA from 1 species
UCCCAGAAGCCUCCGGUGUACCUCGCUGGGAACGCACUUCCUGGGACGCUGAGAGGGAGACGCUCCAAGAGGCUCCUCAGUGUGGGCGAGUAAAAUGCCCUGCGUGUGAGAAGCAGGCUCAGAUUAUUGCUACUCUGUAUUCAGAUCUUCAUGUGUCUCUUCUAAGCUGAAUAAAGCUGUUUUGGAACUGUCAGGUACCUCAAAGCGUAAAAUGUGCUGUAAAGAAGAGUUGUCAAUUGUGCACAGAAGAUAAGAAAGCUUCCUUCAGGAUUUUAAUCAUCCUUACAGCCUCUUUGAGAAUGAUUGAACUUCCAAAUUCCCUGAAGUUAAAAUUUUAAAUUCUAUUAAACAUUUUUUCGAGUAUUUCAUUA